rnacentral:rRNA from 1 species
GAAAAGAAACCAACAGGGAUUCCCCUAGUAACGGCGAGUGAAGCGGGAAUAGCUCAAAUUUGAAAUCGUGUCAGGGUGACCUGGUCGCGAAUUGUAAUUUGAUGAGGUAUGCUUGGUGGGCGCCUGGGUCAAAAUCCUUUGGAAAAGGGUAUCAUAGAGGGUGACAAUCCCGUCUGUGAUCCAGACAGCGGUCUAUCGUGUAAGCUACCUUCAAAGAGUCGGGUUGUUUGGGAAUGCAGCCCUAAGCUGGUGGUAAAUUCCAUCUAAAGCUAAAUAUUCGUGAGAGACCGAUAGCGAACAAGUACCGUGAGGGAAAGUUGAAAAGCACUCUGGAGAGAGAGUCAAACAGCACGUGAAAUUGUUAACAGGGAAACGUUGGGCACCAGUACGCGCCUCGCGUAAAAUCAACCAUCUCUUCCCCGGUGGGUAUACGGCGGGGGAGGACGAGCCUUAACCGGCCGUCUCUCCGUCGUUGCCCCAGGGGGGUGGUGCACUUUUGCGUGGGCGGGUCAACAUCAGUUAGGACCGUCGGAAAAUCCUCAAGGGAAGGUAGGUACAGGACUCGUCCAGUACAACUUAUAGCCCUUGCUGAACGCGAUGGUCUUGACUGUGGAGUCGCGAUUCGUGCUUCCCUCGGGAGGCAGGCCUCUUCGGUCCUCUUGUAUCCCUCGGGUCUUGACAGCUUGCUGAUAAGGGUCGAGUUGGAUGCGGAUGUGGCUGGGUGUAGGCUCUAACGAGUCUCGGACGUACA